rnacentral:rRNA from 1 species
CCUACGGGGGGCUGCAGUCGAGAAUCUUCGGCAAUGGGCGCAAGCCUGACCGAGCGACGCCGCGUGCGGGAUGAAGGUCUUCGGAUUGUAAACCGCUGUCGGAGGGGAUGAAAUGCAUGGGGGUACUCCCCUGUGUUUGACAGAGCCUCGGAGGAAGCACGGGCUAAGUUCGUGCCAGCAGCCGCGGUAAUACGAACUGUGGGAACGAUAUUCGGUAUCACGUGCGUUGAAGGCGGCGUAGGUGGGGUGUGAAAUCCCCCGGCUCAACCGGGGAACUGCGCUUGAAACUGGGGUGCUCGAGUGAGGUAGGGGUGUAUGGAACUUCCGGUGGAGCGGUGAAAUGUGUAGAUAUCGGAAGGAACGCCGGCGGCGAAAGCGGUACACUGGGCCUUGUCUGACGCUGAGGCACGAAAGCUAGGGGAGUGAACGGGAUUAGAUACCCUAGUAGUC